UAGGGAAUCUUCCGCAAUGGGCGAAAGCCUGACGCAGCAACGCCGCGUGAGUGAUGAAGGUCUUCGGAUCGUAAAACUCUGUUAUUAGGGAAGAACAAAUGUGUAAGUAACUAUGCACGUCUUGACGGUACCUAAUCAGAAAGCCACGGCUAACUACGUGCCAGCAGCCGCGGUAAUACGUAGGUGGCAAGCGUUAUCCGGAAUUAUUGGGCGUAAAGCGCGCGUAGGCGGUUUUUUAAGUCUGAUGUGAAAGCCCACGGCUCAACCGUGGAGGGUCAUUGGAAACUGGAAAACUUGAGUGCAGAAGAGGAAAGUGGAAUUCCAUGUGUAGCGGUGAAAUGCGCAGAGAUAUGGAGGAACACCAGUGGCGAAGGCGGCUUUCUGGUCUGUAACUGACGCUGAUGUGCGAAAGCGUGGGGAUCAAACAGG
rnacentral:rRNA from 1 species